UUACGGUCACAUCAUGUUGAAACACCAGUUCCCAUAUAAUCACCAAAGUUAAGCAAUGUUGAGUCUGGUCAGUACCCAGAUGGGUGACCGUUUGAAAAUACCAGGUACUGUAAG